CAGUCGCCACGGUAAUACGGAGGGGGCUAGCGUUGUUCGGAAUUACUGGGCGUAAAGCGCACGUAGGCGGCUUGGUAAGUUAGAGGUGAAAGCCCGGAGCUCAACUCCGGAAUUGCCCUUAAGACUGCCGAGCUAGUAGGUGAGAGAGGUAAGUGGAAUUCCGAGUGUAGAGGUGAAAUUCGUAGAUAUUCGGAAGAACACCAGUGGCGAAGGCGGCUUACUGGCUCAUUCUAGACGCUGAGGUGCGAAAGCGUGGGGAGCAAACAGGAUUAGAUACCCGCGUAGUCCCUGUCUCUUAUAC
rnacentral:rRNA from 1 species